UUUUUUAUUCAUAAAAAUGUUUUAUUUGAUAUUGUAAAUUAAAAGUGUCAAAACACUAGGAAUAAAUUUAUCAAACAAGUGAUAUUUUUUUUUUCUUUUAAUUUUUAACGGCCUGUAUCUCUCAAAUUGUCACGCGAUGAUAUUUGCAUUGGUAAAAGUGUGCCACUAAUAUCCUAUUUACUCUUUGUUGACACCUUUCUCUUUUUAAGAUUGUAAAUGUAGAAGAGAAUACUUUAUUUAACAUAGUAAGUGGGAAACAAAACAAUACAUAGAUGCUUGUUUCUAGUUUUCAGGGAGAUUCCAUGUUUCCAUAUCCUCGUCCUACAUUCUUCCCCACCUUCACCAAGGUCCUUCGGUUUCCCCUCCAUCGUCGUCUUGAUUACCAUUUUCUCCUUCACCAUUGUCUCCGUUGUCGGGGUAUUCUUCAUCAUCUUCGAAGGGUGCCUCACUAUUACCAUUUUCUUCUUCACUAUUAUUGUCUCUUGUUCCCCAUCCCAAUCCUGGUAUCCAACCCAAUGCCAAAUCUCUCAAACCUCUCCAAUCUACAUAACUUCUUAUUAAAGUACUAUAUUCGGAUUGCUCAACUGCCACAAUAGUGGUAAGAAGGGGAACACAUAGAAAGAAUACUAAUAUAAAACACUUUGUUUUCAUCCUUGCUUAAAUUUCUUAAAGUUUAUUGUAAAAUAUGAAUAAUAUCCCCAGAUAUUUAUACUGUUCACGCAUGGGAAAAAUAAGAUAAUUUUAAAAGACAAAAACAUGUUGAAUAAAUAUAUAUUGUAUACUAAGAAAAAAACAGACAAUACAUAUUCCAUGGCCAAUUGUGAAGACAAUGGGUCAUCAAAAUCCAUUGAGCCACGGAAUGGUUAAAUAAAUUAGAACAUGUCUGUCUUUUGGGUAUAGAUAAUUUGAGGAUUAAAGAGCCAUUAUAUCCAUUUGAGCUAAGUAAAAUGAAAUUGGAUCGAUUAAAUAAAAGAAUAAAAAUGGAAGGGCUUGGAGUCCAAAACAUGUUUAAAAGUUGAAUUUUAUAAUAAAGAGUCAUUUGUGUGAAUUAAUAAUAAUAGAGGAAUUAUAAUUAUUGUAAAAUUAAAUAAAAAUAACAAAAUAAAACAUAAAAGACGAAACAUAGAAAGUAGAAAGUUAGAAGAAAAAAAUCCCUCUUCUUUCAACCUUCCAUUGCUACUUACUUUUCUUGUUCUUAUUUUCCUUUUCUAUUUUCAUAUUAACUUAUAUUUUUUGAACAGAAAGAUAAAAAUAAAUAAAUAAACUGAAUGAGCUGUUUGUUUAAAAAAUUUAAAAAUCAAUUUUAAAUUUAUACUUUUUAAAAUAAUUUUUACAACAACUUAUUCAAAAAUAAUAGAAAUUAUUUUAAACUCAUUUGUUUUCUAUUAAAAAGAUAAUUUUUUUGAUAUUCACUAAUUUAAAUAUUUGUUAUUAGAGAUUUUACUAUAAUAAAAAUGUAUAAAAAAUUUAUAAUUCAAAAAUCAUAUUUUUAAAAAAGAUGUAGCAAAUAAAUAAAAUAUAUAAAAUCAUAUUUUCAAAUGGAAUUUUCCAUUUGGAGUUUUAUUUAAAAAAUUAUUUUAAAAACAUAUUAUAACAAAAUGAUAAAAUCAUAUAAAAAUCAUAUUUUUCUAAAUUUAAACAAACUAGCUCAUUAAUAUCUGAAAAAUUUCAUUGCAAAGAACCUUUUGCAACAAAUUCAUGUACUGACAUGGAAAUAGUUUCAAGCUAGUGAUGCGGGCUUCAAGUAUUUAUUGACUCAAUGUAUUGAUAAUAUGCUUAUGGAUAGAGAGAGAGUUCUAGCUUAUGUUCCAGUUUUCUGCACUAGGAGAAAAUUGAGUAGCUACUUUAAUACAAAUACAAUGUGCAUGUAAUAUUAACAAUUAAUCAAAUGUUCAAGAUUUGACUCGACAAUUAGUUCGUUCUACUCAAACAUAUGCAAACAUGGUAAAAAAUCAAACUUUCAUCAUAUACAUUAUAAAAAUUUAUGUAUCACAAACAAACAUAAUAAAAAUUAGAAUUUUACCAUUUAAAUUCAUCAUAAAUAUUUUUCAUCGUGGAAAUAGAAGUAUCACCUACAUAUUCUAAUAAUAUUCUGUUACGGAGUUUAAAAAAUUUCAAACAACUAUUUUAGAUUUUUCCUUCAUACAUCUUGGGGUUCUAAUUUUGUAAAUCAUUUAUCUCAGUUGAUGAAAUUUGGUUAUAGAACUUGAUUCUAAGACAAGUACACCGAGACUAUGUUGCUAGCCAUUGCACAUGAUUAGAACAAAAAUACAAUUAUCAUUAUUUAAGCACUUGUGGAAGGAUAUUAGUCACAUAUAAAGAUAAAACAAUGUAUCACAAUCCUGAAAUACGAAGAAUUAAAAAGUUCGUCAUAAUAAUACUUGUAUUAGAACUGAAAUAUAUAUUAGAGAAAAAUGUCAAGAAAAUGAUAAUUAUAUUGGUUAAUUGAUAAUACUCGAAAAUAUUAUCCAAAUGUUAUGGACAACUCUAGUCAAUCUAUGUAAUUUUUUUAAAAUUUGUGUUUUAUUUUUUAUGAAUAAAUUUUAACAAAUUAUAUAAUUAUAUUUUUUUUGUUAAGUUUAAAAAAAAAAGUGGAUGUAGGAAGUCCAUUUUUCAAAAGAAGGCUUCUAUAUUUAUAAACUAAAAAACUUAAAUACCCAACAUUAAGUCGUCAUUACAAAUGUGGGCUCAUUUAAGAAGUCUCAUUUGUAAAUGACGACUUUCUAUGAAGGCAAAAAAAUGGUAGAUUAUAUAUGGUUUUGAAAAAAGAGUAUAUUAAAAAAUAAAAAAGUCAAAAAUGAGUUAUUAAAAAAAAUAAAAAGUCUCAUGUGUAUCUUGUUAGACAUAAGUCCUUUUGAUCAUGAUUUUGACAUAAAUAACAAACAUACAAUGUACAUGUAUCAUUUGAUAAAUCUAACAGGUUGAACUGAGUAACAUUUCAGGAAAAAACAAGCAAACACUAUACACUUGGAACAAAAGCUUGGAACUCAAGGAAUCAACCAAAAUUGGAGGAUGUGCUUGAGAAAGAUGCAAAUAUGUAUAGUGUGAUUAGUGGUUAUAGUAGUUAUUUAGUAGACUCAUCACUAUGGUUUCAUACUUAAGUAUUUGCCAAAGUAAAAAUGAAAUCAUAAAAUAAGAAAGUAAAUCAAUCAACUGAUAAGUCAAUUGAUGAAUCAAUUGGGCAAUCGAUUGUCUGACUCAAAACAAAAGUUUUUACUAAGUAAAUCGAUUGGGAAAUCGAUUACUUAAAGGCUUUUAGUGAAACCUGAGUUCUGAGUUUAAUCCAAUCAAUUGGGCAAUCGAUUGGGACAUCAAUUGAGUAAUCCACUUUGUGAUUCACAGAACCAACCACUUACUGAAUCAAUCGAUUGGCAAAUUGAUUGUGAAAAAGUUAUAGAAGUACGCCUAAGAGUGAGGGUGAGUUAGGUUUUAGAAAUUUUCUUGUUUUUUUAGAGAUUUAGUGUUUGAUUUUUCUGAUUUAAGAUAGUGUAUGGAAAAGAUAAAUGGCAGAAAAAUAAAGAACACAAAGAUAUUAUCCUGGUUCCCCUUAUCACCAAGGGUACAUCCAGUCCUCUUGCACACCACAAGAGAUUUUCCACUAUUGUUAGAAUAAGUACAAGUCCCACCCUAGGACCUUUCUUACAAACUCCUAACAAUCACCCUAAGAUAGCACACCACUAUCUUAGUUUACAAAACUUGAAGAAAGAACACCACUUUCCUCAAUUUACAACACUUGAAGAAAGUACACCACUUUCUUCAAUUUACAACACUUGAAUGGUUUAGCAAUAUUGAUUUUGACUUAGAUCAAUAUGAUAUAAUAGGUGAUGUACAAUGAUAACAAUCCAAUAUAAUUUCAAGUACACUAGAGAACUUUUCUCAAUGAUAUGAAAAUGUAAAAUCUGUACUUGAAAUAUAAAAGUGAAACUUUGAAUAAAUCAAAACAUUUUAGAAAGUUUGUUCAAGGUUUGGUUGUAGGAUUGGUUGUUGUUUGAUCUGAAGUUAUGGGGUAUUUAUACUCCAUAAACAUCUCUUCAGAUUCGUGGCCAAUGACCCAAGAGGUUUGAUGAAAGAAUACAAUGAUUUGGAGCCAUUCCAGAUCUGAAAAAUUGUAUUGCUUCCAGUUGUAUUCGAAUACAGGAUGUGUGUAUUCGAAUACACCUCUUUGUAACGUUCAAAAUAUUCAAAAAUUACACCUUGUAUUCGAAUACACAUGUGUGUAGUCGAAUACAAAUUUGUGAAAAUUUGCCACUGACUUACUUUGUAUUCGACAACACAUAGUCGUAGUCGAAUAUAACUUUGAGAUUUUUGCUUUUGACUUGCUUUGUAUUCGAAUACGGGAUGCUGUAUUCGAAUACACUUAUGUAUUUUGUCUAAAAUAUUAUUUUCAAACAUUAUUUAUAUAUUUUUACUUUUUGAAAAUCCUUUUGAUGCAUAUGCUAAAACGAAAGGUUCUCAUGUGCAUUUGAAAUAUACGAAUAUUAGAUUGCAUCAUGUACCUUUACAUUAUAAAAUUUCUAGCAUAUUUGACCAUAGUUGUCUUUGAUGUUUGACUUCUUUUUGAGCUUGCAAGUUGAUCACUUUCCUUGGUCUUUGUCUUCAUCAAAAACAUGUAUUUUACAGUGAUCAACCAAAUCGAUUGGAUUAGAACAGUGGAGUCACUGUGACCAGUCAAGUCGAUUGGCAAAUCGAUUGGAUUAAAACAUUGGAGUCAUUGUGACCAGUCAAGUCGAUUGGCAAAUCGAUUGGAUUAAAACAUUGGAGUCACUGUGAUCAGUCAAGUCGAUUGGAAAAUCGAUUGGAUUAAAACAUUGGAGUCAUUGUGACCAGCCAAGUCGAUUGGCAAAUCGAUUGCAUUAAAAUGUCUGAGUCACUGUGAUCAGCCAAAUCAAGAAUUCAGCUCAUUGCCAAGCUUGAAUAUGUUAAUACAGCUGAUCAGUUGGCUGAUAUUUUCACCAAAGCCUUACCCAAGGACAGUUUCUUCUUUAUUAGAAUGAAACUUGGAAUUAUAGAUCACAAUGAAAUCUGAUCCCUGUGACAAAAUCGAUUGAAACAUCGAUUAUCCUGUGACUAGAUAGAAAAACAACAUUACAAAAUCGAUUGCAUAAUCGAUUUAUGAUGUACAGUGUUUUAAUUGUCAAAAUUGAAAACACGAUAAUCGAUUGCAUAAUCGAUUUUCUAAUCUCAGGUAGCAGUAAAGACUAGAGUAUUCAUUAAUCCAAUCGAUUGGUCAAUCGAUUGAAUUAUUGGAAAAUAGUUUAAAGAAUCGACUUCAUAAUCGAUUAUUUUUCCCAGAACAUCCAAAGAUGUUAACAUUUUCCAAACUAUAACCCGAGCAUCGAUUGGGAAAUCGAUUGAGUCANNNNNNNNNNNNNNNNNNNNNNNNNNNNNNNNNNNNNNNNNNNNNNNNNNNNNNNNNNNNNNNNNNNNNNNNNNNNNNNNNNNNNNNUAUGACUGUUACAAAAAAUUUACUAGCCGUUGGAGACAAAUAUGACUGAGAUCGUUCAACUCCCUACAGUAACGGUAACUUAAUUGAUUGAGAAAUCGACGCAGCAUGCGCAAAGAACUUAACAACAUCGAUUGACGAAUCGAUUUUGAACAGGAAUACUUAAACCCUACUAAAACCUUAAAUCGAUUCCCCAUCUCACUUUUCCAAAAUUUCUCAAACUUCUCACAACUUUCUGAUCUUUCUCUGUAAGCCUUACAUACUUCACAAUAUUCUCAAACACUUCUAAAAAACAUCUUUAAUCUUACUAAUGGCAAGAGUAAAGCAAACCUCUACAAGAUCACAAUCACCAUCAUCAUCUUCAAGUGGAAGAACCCCAUCACCUCCACCAACUUCAAAGAGAGUCUCUAUCCCAACACAUAAAAUCAUGGCAAAAGAUAAGGGAAAGGGCAUUUCCAUUGAACACGAGAAAUAAAAAAAAAGGAAGGCUCCUCCCACUGAAAAGUUAAUGGCUGAUGCUAUGAAAGAUACAACUCAGAAAAACAAGAAACCUAUCUCUUCUCCUCAACCCAAGAAACCUCAACCUGCUAAAGGGAAACAAGCUGAAGACUUUGAUCUACCACCUGUUUUCCUCAAACGAAAAAUCCAUGAGGCACGAACCAUGGAUUUUGCUUAUUUUGAUUCAAAUGGUUUUUCAUUUCAAAAUCAUUUGCGGUUUCAUGGUUUGGAAGGCUUUCUCUCUUGCUCUCUUGACAUAAAUCCAAAGCUCAUUAAGGCAUUCUGUUCCAACUUCAGUCUCACCGCCACAGACUUUAAAUCUGAAGUAAAAGGAAAGAAAAUUUCCUUGUCUUUUGAGGAAUUCUCUGAACUUUCAGGUUUGCCAUUCUUUGGUGAAUCUGUUGAUGGAAGAACCGAGGCAGAUUAUACUGAUGAAGCAUGGGAAACAUCAGUAGACAGGCACACUGUUGUUCAGGACCUGAUGAUUGAGGGAUUCGUCGAAAAGCUAUCACUUCCUACAGGUCAAAUGAAGGUCCAAUAUAGGAUGCUCAUGUACGUACUAACACGGAUGUUAGCGCCUAGGUCGGGAAAUCACGCUGUUGUCCAGAGGCUGGACAUUACUCUGCUGUGGGGAUUAUUCAAAGAGCUCAAGAUGAGCUGGACCUGGAUUGUUCUCAUGAACAUGUCAGAAUUUUCUCAUGGUAAGCAACUCCUCCCUUAUCCACAACUCAUCACAAAGAUUCUGAGACAUUUUAAAGUUUAUGUUGUCAAUAAAGAAUCUGCCAAAACUACUCUCACUUUUGGAGAAUCAAUUGUAAACCAAAUGCAAUUGAAACGAAUAAACGGCAUUUGGACUCGAGCUCAGCCAAAUGCGGAACAAGCUGAGCCAGUUGAAGCCCAUUCUGAGGUUUUAACUAAGUUGCUGGAAUUCAUGGAGAAUCAAGCUGCUCAUAAUGCAAGAGUAGAAGCAUCUCUAAGGACUCUCCAAGCAUCGCUCAAUUCAGUUGCUCAGGAUGUGACUGCAAUACAAGAACACUUAGGCCUUAAGCUGUCAUUUGAAGAUAUUGUAGAUAUAGGCCGUCAAGCAACAAAAGAUCAAAACCCAACCAACUUAGAUAGCACUGAACCUCAUGGAGAUGAGACACUUGCUGAGGCUAAUACAUCAGUCUCUACCUCUCCCGCUGGUAAUAAUGAGGAACAGCCCUAGAUUAGUUGACUAGGAUUUUGGUUUCUUUGUUGUUUUGUAAUGUUCUAGUAUUGUAUUGAAAUGUUCUAUUAUAACUUUGUCAUAUUCUCUUCUGUUUAUAUCUUUUUGCUUUAAAUGACAAAGGGGGAGAGUUUACUACAUUUUUAACUUGUUUACUGCAUCAUAUGCAUUGUUGCUCUGAUACCAAGUUCUAUAAAGUUUUGAAUUGCGUUCUAUAAAGUUCUGAAUUGCUCUGAUACCAACUGCUAAAUUGCUAAAUAGCUCUGAUAAUGUAGUUUGUAAGAGUUAGCUCUGAUUGUGAUAGCUAUGAUACUGUAUGUUGUAAAUAGCUCUGUAUGCUAACCUGUGUGAAAUAGAUCUAAUACUGCACUGCAAAAUUGAUAAAAUCUUGUGUAGCAAUAUAGCUCUGAUACUGCACUGCUAAUUUGAUGAAUUUUGUGUUGCUGCUCUGAAACUGAUUUGGUACUCUGAUAUUAAUUCUGUUGAUUGGUUUUAACAAGCUAUGAUUAUUCUGUGACUGAUAAUGUUAAAGCCUUGUUAAAGGAAUCAUGAACUCCAAAAUUCAGGGGGAGCUUUUUAAAUAACAAUAACUAUAUUUUUUUAAGUUUUGAAAUGUUAAACUCAAGUUAAAAUUGUAUGUUUGUCAUUUAAUCAAAAAGGGGGAGAUUGUUAGACAUAAGUCCUCUUGAUCAUGAUUUUGACAUAAAUAACAAACAUACAAUGUACAUGUAUCAAUUGAUAAAUAUAACAGGUUGAACUGACUAACAUUUCAGGAAAAAACAAGCAAACACUAUACCCUUGGAACAAAAGCUUGGAACUCAAGGAAUCAACCAAAAUUGGAGGAUGUGCUUGAGAAAGAUGCAAAUAUGUAUAGUGUGAUUAGUGGUUAUAGUAUUUAUUUAGUAGACUCAUCAGUAUUAGACUCAUCAAUAUGGUUUCAUACUUAAGUAUUUGCGAAAGUAAAAAUAAAGUAAAUCAAUCAACUGAUAAGUCAAUUGAUGAAUCAAUUGGGCAAUCGAUUGUCUGACUCAGAACAAAAGUUUUUACUAAGUAAAUCGAAUGGGAAAUUGAUUACUUAAAGGCUUUUAGUGAAACCUGAGUUCUGAGUUUAAUCCAAUCAAUUGGACAAUCGAUUGGGACAUCAAUUGAGUAAUCGACUUUGUGAUUCACAGAACCAACCACUUACUGAAUCAAUCGAUUGGCAAAUUGAUUGUGAAAAAGUUUUUCAUCAGGAAUGAGUUCUGUGAUCAACCAAAUCGAUUGGAUUAGAACAGCGGAGUCACUGUGACCAGUCAAGUCGAUUGGCAAAUUGAUUGGAUUAAAACAUUGGAGUCAUUGUGACCAGUCAAGUCGAUUGGCAAAUCGAUUGGAUUAAAACAUUGGAGUCACUAUGACCAGCCAAGUCGAUUGGCAAAUCGAUNNNNNNNNNNNNNNNNNNNNNNNNNNNNNNNNNNNNNNNNNNNNNNNNNNNNNNNNNNNNNNNNNNNNNNNNNNNNNNNNNNNNNNNNNNNNNNNNNNNNNNNNNNNNNNNNNNNNNNNNNNNNNNNNNNNNNNNNNNNNNNNNNNNNNNNNNNNNNNNNNNNNNNNNNNNNNNNNNNNNNNNNNNNNNNNNNNNNNNNNNNNNNNNNNNNNNNNNNNNNNNNNNNNNNNNNNNNNNNNUCAAGUCGAUUGGCAAAUCGAUUGGAUUAAAACAUUGGAGUCACUAUGACCAGUCAAGUCGAUUGGCAAAUCGAUUGGAUUAAAACAUUGGAGUCACUGUGACCAGCCAAGUCGAUUGGCAAAUCGAUUGCAUUAAAAUUUCUGAGUCACUGUGAUCAGCCAAAUCGAUUAAACUAAAUGUUUGAGUUACAGGAAGAAUUCAGCUCAUUGCUAAAUCGAUUAUGACUAUGAAUAUGCGUCGACUUAGCAAUCGAUUAUUUUGAUCUCGUUGUUUGAACAAAACACCUAUAAUCGAUUACUCAAUCGAUUCUGAUAUAAUCUUAGUAUCAGUUUCUGAUUUAUGCAUUAAAAGAAUCGAUUGGCAAAUNNNNNNNNNNNNNNNNNNNNNNNNNNNNNNNNNNNNNNNNNNNNNNNNNNNNNNNNNNNNNNNNNNNNNNNNNNNNNNNNNNNNNNNNNNNNNNNNNNNNNNNNNNNNNNNNNNNNNNNNNNNNNNNNNNNNNNNNNNNNNNNNNNNNNNNNNNNNNNNNNNNNNNNNNNNNNNNNNNNNNNNNNNNNNNNNNNNNNNNNNNNNNNNNNNNNNNNNNNNNNNNNNNNNNNNNNNNNNNNNNNNNNNNNNNNNNNNNNNNNNNNNNNNNNNNNNNNNNNNNNNNNNNNNNNNNNNNNNNNNNNNNNNNNNNNNNNNNNNNNNNNNNNNNNNNNNNNNNNNNNNNNNNNNNNNNNNNNNNNNNNNNNNNNNNNNNNNNNNNNNNNNNNNNNNNNNNNNNNNNNNNNNNNNNNNNNNNNNNNNNNNNNNNNNNNNNNNNNNNNNNNNNNNNNNNNNNNNNNNNNNNNNNNNNNNNNNNNNNNNNNNNNNNNNNNNNNNNNNNNNNNNNNNNNNNNNNNNNNNNNNNNNNNNNNNNNNNNNNNNNNNNNNNNNNNNNNNNNNNNNNNNNNNNNNNNNNNNNNNNNNNNNNNNAACAAUCUGUAAAGAAAGUUCUGGAAAUCCAGUAGUGUAAACUGGUGACUAUCUUUGUUGGUGCAUGUGUUCAUCAAGAAGAAGUCUCAUCUUGAUCUCGUGAGGGUUUGGCGAGUAACUCUAGGGAUAAGGUGGCAUUGUAAUAGAAGCGAAUGAGUUGGAUAGAUAGACCAUGUGUGAGCUGGAAAAUCUGUAAAACGUACUCAAGUCGAUUCUAUUGGAAAGGCUGAAAUUUGGUUUAGAUUUCAGGACUGGAUGUAGGCUAUCAAACAGAUAGCUGAACCAGUAUAAAUCCCGGUGCACGAUUUUCUUAUCUUUUCUCUUUACUUUGAUAUUGCUUGAACGCUUAUUCUUGAAUGUUUGUAUUGGUGAAGUUCUGUCUUGAUUAAUCUUUUGAAUAAGCCACUACGCGAAAAAAACGCAUUUUACAGCGCUUUUUUUAAGCCAUUUACAACGCUUUUUCAAAAAAAUAAGCGUUGUGGAAUCGAGCGCUGUAAAUGAUACAACAGCGCUUUUAAAAAAGCGCUAUAAAACAUGUAAAUACAACGCGCGCUUGUUAUGCACAUUUUACAGCGCUUCNNNNNNNNNNNNNNNNNNNNNNNNNNNNNNNNNNNNNNNNNNNNNNNNNNNNNNNNNNNNNNNNNNNNNNNNNNNNNNNNNNNNNNNNNNNNNNNNNNNNNNNNNGGUAUGCUUUUAGAGCGCUUUUUAACACAAGCGCUGUAAAAUACAGACCCAUAAUUUUCAUAUUAUGGGUCUGCAUUUUACAGCGCUUUCUUGAGAAAGCGCUGUAAAAUGCCCACCCAUAAUUUCAUAUAUGGGUGUGCAUUGAGUUUCCACAUCGACAUCUUAUGCGGAGACAAGAAUGAGUAUUUAUUUGACAAUUUCCUCGUGCACACGACCUUCUCGUACAAAAACCUUCAAUGAAAAUUUUAAACUAGAUUAAUUACCAAUACAUUUAAUUAAUUACAAAUAAAUGCAAUUAAAAGUAUUUUUUACCUUAUGUACAAGCUGAUUACAGUAGCACUCAGCUCCUUAUGUUCGAGAAGUUCGUACAUGUGCUCCUUUUCGAUGCGUACAAGGUGUUUGAAGAAAUGGGUUUGUGUCUGAUGUUUUUUGGAUUCCCAUGAUGCGUACAAGGUGUUUGAAGAAAUGGGUUUGUGUCUGAUGUUUUUUGGAUUCCCAUGAUGCGUACAAGGUGUUUGAAGAAAUUAGGUGUCUGAUGAAUAUUAUUUUUAAAGCUUUUUUACAGCGCUUUGUCAAAUAAGCGCUGUAAAAUGUCUUUUUUACUCACUUUCAAAAGAGUCGUUUACAGCGCUUUGUGUGAAAAGCGCUGUAAAAGGUAUAAAACACUCAUUAUUUUAUUUUUAAAAGGAUCUUUUACAGCGCUUUUUAAGAUAAGCGCUGUAAAAUGUCUCUUUAUUUUAUUUUUGUGUUUGGUUUAUUUGGGUUGGGAUGACAUUAAAAACAUUUUUAUCAUUGUUUAUUGGAUUAAAAAUAUUGUUAUCAUUGUCUUUAUCACAAUACUUUAGGAGAUGAUGAAUUAUUAGAAAUGAGUAUUCUGAAGAAUCUAUAUAUAUAUAUGCACUGAGCAAAAGAGAAUCUCUCUAUUCAGUUCAGUUCAGUUCAUGUAAAUUACUAAUUUAUAUUCAGUUCAGUUCAUGUAAAUCAAGCUAAAUAUAAAACACUCAUUGUUACAUGAACUUGGUAUAAAACACUCAAAUCAAGCUAAAUAUAAGCAGAAAAUAAAUUAAUCAGAAAAUAAAUUAAUCAGAACUUAGUAUAAAACACUCAAUUCAGAUUACAUGCAUAUUUACAAUAACACAGUUCAGAUUACAUGCAUAGCUUAUAUAAAACAAUUAAACAUAUAUAUACAUUAAGAUGCCCUUCUUCUUUUCCUGGUGACAUUCACAUUUGUUUGUCCAUUUACAAUACGAAACGAUGGAUUAAUCCAAAUUCCCUCAUCAUGAUCAUCUCUAAGAUAUAAACCAUCAUCAGUUGAAUCAAUUUCAUGUGGUUGUUGUGAUGUUGCAAAUAAAAGAUCAUUACCAACAUCUUCAUCAUUAUUGUUAUCAUCACUUAUUUUAUUGGUCGAUAGGACAACAGACCAUUUAUCAUUAGAAGGAUCAGUGACAUAAAACACUUGUUGAGCUUGCGACGCUAAAAUAAAAGGCUCGUCUUUGUAUCCCACCCUAUUAAAAUCGACAAGCAAGAAUCCUGACUCAUCAAUCCGAACGCCAUUAUUAUUAUCGACCCACUUGCAACCAAAUAUGGGAACACGAAACAUUGUGUAGUCUAACUCCCAUAUGCGCUCGAUAACCCCAAAAUAUGAUAGAUUUGCAUAUAUUGGGUUUUUGUCUUUUGCACUUGAGACAUGCAUCGCUUCAGCUACGAGAGUGACUCCACUAUUUUGCAUAGUGGUCUGAUCAUCUUGUUCUUUGGUAUAAAAUGUGUAGCCGUUAAUAACAUAACCAGUGUAAGAAAAGACAUGUAAGCUCGGACCAUUUGCUAGCCACCUCAAUCUAUUUGAAAUUGAUCCGGGGUCUAUAUCAAAUUUUGACAUUAUGUGAUUUUUUAACCAUGUUACAAAACUUCGAUUGUGCUCUCGAGUUAUCCAAUUUUGAUUCCUAUUCAUGUUCAAACGAGAUAACUGAUCAAUGUGUAUUGUAACAUACGGUUGAACCUCAUCAUCAUUGUGCAGAACAUACAAUUGUGCCUGCUCCCAUUCUGUCCUUGAUAUAGUCAGUAGUCUCCUUCCAGUUAUCCCUUCUCCUGAUAGUCUUCCCGAAUGACGAGACAUGGGAAGCCCUAUGGAUUCAACAUUGGACAGAUAUUCAGUACAAAAUUCAGCAGCCUCUUCAACAAUGUAUCGUUCAGCAAUACAACCUUCUGGUCGACUUCUACUUUUUACGUACCCUUUUAAUAUUUUCAUAUAUCGUUCUAUCGGAUACAUCCAUCUCAUAUAAGCUGGCCCACAAAGUUGUGUCUCCUUAACCAGAUGAACAGUAAGGUGAACCAUUAUAUCAAAAAACGAUGGUGGGAAAUACAUUUCAAGCUCACACAAAGUAACAACAAUUUCCCUCUGCAAUGUCGGUAAUUUCUGAGGGUCGAUCACUUUACUACAAAUUUCCCUGAAGAAGAAACAUAAUCUAGUUAAGGCUAGUCGAACUUUUUCAGGUAAAAUGGAACGUAUACCUAUUGGUAGCAAAUGCUCCAUUAUAAUAUGACAAUCAUGGGUCUUCAAACCUUUUAACUUGAGGUCUUUCAUACAAACCAAAUUUUUAAUGUUCGAAGAGUAUCCUUCUGGAACUUUAACUUCGUGUAGAAAUUUACAUAAAACAAUUUUUUCCUUUCUAGAUAGAGUAUGAGCGGCUGGAGGUAGAUAUGUGCGAUUUCCUUUCUUUACUGGAGCCAGUUCAUUUCUUAUUCCCAUAUCGACCAAGUCCAAUCUUGCAUUGACGCCAUCUUUAGACUUUCCUGGAACAUUGAGUAACGUACCAAUAACACUUUCAAAUACAUUUUUUUCAAUAUGCAUCACAUCGAGGAAAUGUCUUACAUACAAUGACUUCCAAUAUGGCAAUUCAAAGAAAAUUGACUUUUUCUUCCACCCAGUUUUCACCAGCUCUCCCGCAAAAGGUUUGCCAAAUUUAUUGGUCAAACCUUGUACUUUUUCAAGUAUUUGAUAUCCAGUCGGUGCUAAAGGAGCUUUACCUUCCUCUGAUUUUCCAUUGAAUGCAUUUCUCCACCCACGAUACUGAUGACUAUAAGGUAAAAAUCUACGAUGUCCAAGAAACACAUUCUUCUUACAAUGUUUCAACCGCAUCCAAUUUGUACUCUCUUCACAUAUAGGACAUGCACACUGACCUUUAAUGCUAUAUCCUGAUAAAUUACCAUAUGCUGGAAAAUCAUUAAUUAUGCCGAACAACAUAACCCUUAAAUUGAAACAUUCUUUCUUAUACCCAUCAUAAACUUCCACACCUGUCUCCCACAUACUUUUUAAAUUUUCGAUUAGAGGAGUCAAGUAUACGUCGAUAUCAUUCCCCGGUUGUUUGGGUCCAGAAAUUAACAGAGACAACAUCAUAAACUUACGCUUCAUACAUAACCAUGGAGGUAGGUUAUAUAUUACCAAAAUCACAGGCCACGUGCUAUGUGAGAUGCUUUGAAGACCAUGUGGAUUCAUUCCAUCAGUAGAAAGUGCAAGUCUUAGAUUUCUUGACUCUAUCCCGAAUUCAGGAUACUCGUGAUCAAUUUUUGCCCAUUGUGGGGAAUCUGCAGGGUGUCGAAACAUUCCAUCUCUAAUUCUUUCAUCUGCAUGCCAUGUCAAGUGUUUUGAAUCUUCUUCACUGCGAUACAUGCGCCUAAAUCUUGGUAUUAUAGGAAAAUACCACACGACUUUUGCUGGAGUAGAUUCUUUCUUCUUAUAUCGAGAGACAUUGCAUUUCGGACACGCCUUAAGUAGUUCAUAUUCGUUUCGAAAUAAAAUGCAAUCGUUAGGACACGCAUGAAUCCUUUCGUAACUCAUUCCAAUAGAACACAAAAUCCGUUUAGCCUCGUAGGUUCGACUGGGAAGUUCAUUAUCAUCUGGCAACAUAUCUUUUAUGAGUGUUAAUAAUUCCGUAAAGCUUUUAUCAGACCAUCCAUUACUCGCUUUUAAGUUGUACAACUUUAAUAUCGCUGACAGUCUUGUGAAUUUAGUACAACCAUUAUAUAAUUCUUUCUCUGCAUCACUCAACAAACUUUCAAACAUUUUAGGACAAUCUCGAAGAUCUUCUUCAACUGCUUUUGCAAUCUCAUCAACUCGGUCCGGCUCAUAUGUAUCUGUAUCGAAAUCAGUUGAAGCAUAUGUAGAACUAUUCUCAAAAUUAAUGUUUCCUUUUUUUUUCUCACCAUGUCUUAUCCAACAUGUGUAGCUUUGAUCAAUUCCAUUACAUACUAGAUGUCCUUCUAAUUCAUCUUCUCUAACACGUUUUCCAAAACAACAUUUUAAACAAGGACAAACUACUCUAUUUGGAUCUUUUGCAUUCUUCACUGCAAACUCAACAAACUCCUUCACUCCAAUUUCAUACUCUUUUGACAAUCGAUUGGCUGAAAUCCAUUUCCUAUCCAUAUUAUACCACCUAUAUAAAUGCAGUAACAAAAAUAAUAAGCUUUCAAAACAUAUCAACAAGUUUCAAAAAGAAACCAAUAUCAACUAACAAUUUCAAAACAGAACAGAUCAUGUGGUAUGAGUUUUUGACAAUUUUUGACAAUUUCAAAACAUAACAGAUCAUGUGUAAAAAAUACCUUAGACAACGUAGAUGGCCGCACAGUACGUAGAGGAUAUUAGGGUUCCCAACGUAUAUAAUUAUUUGAAAGAUGUAGAGGAUAUGAGGGUUUCCAACGUAUAUAAUUAUUUGAAAGAUGUAGAGGAUAUGAGGGUUUCCAACGUAUAUAAUUAUUUUAAAGAUGUAUUUUACAGCGCUUGUGAAAAACGCGCUGUAAUAGGUAGUUAAAUUCAAUGAAAGCGCAUGUGUUUUACAGCGCUUGUGAAAAAAGCGCUGUAAUAGGUAGUUAAAUUCAAUGAAAGCGCAUGUGUUUUACAGCGCUUGUGAAAAACGCGCUGUAAUAGGUAGUUAAAUUCAAUGAAAGCGCAUGUGUUUUACAGCGCUUGUGAAAAAAGCGUUGUAACUGAUACGCGAAAGCGCUUCCUUUUACAGCGCUUUUUUGACAAGCGCUGUAAAAGCCUUAUAACGUGAUGUGCAAACGUUAUAUGACCUACUACAGCGCUUGUUUUACAGCGCUUGUCAUCAAAAGCGCUGUAAAAGGUUCCGUUAUUUUUAAAAUAUAAUUACAACAGCGCUUGUGUUUAGAAAGCGCUGUAAAAUGAGCGCUGUUAAAUGUCAUUUUUGGCGUAGUGAGCAUUGUAUCUGAUAAAAUUGUGAAUCUUUGUUCCUUUAUUCAUGCAAUUGUGAAUCUUUGUUCCUGAAUAAAUUCUGUAACCGAUCAUUGUUAAUCUGAUUAAUAAUCUUGUAAAAUUAGUAAAGACAUUUCUCAUAUAUUUUUUAACAAAUAGAGGCCAUAAUUUCCUACAUAUCUUGUAACAUCUAACCAAUCACAUAAUGAGUUUGUAUAUAAAAAAAUUAAUCAUAAAUUUUAUUUAUGGGUAAUGUCUUAAUUUUUUUAUUCUUAAAAAUAUUUUAUUUUAGAUUGUAAUAGAGAUUGAAUAUAUAUUAUUUUUUACUUUUUUUCUUAAUUUUUUAUUAAUGAAUUUAUUUGAGAUAACUAAAUAUAUAUUAUUGAGAUAAUUAAACAUAAAACUAUAUAGCAUCCACAUAUAUAACAUAUACUAUACUAAAAAUUGACAUUACUAAGUAAUAAGAAUCAACUAAGUGAUAUACAUGAUUGGUGUUCCGCGAAAUUUGUUUGUUUAAGACGUGGUGCCAUACAAAAUUACUAAUAUCACUAUUUGAGUUACAACAUAACAUGACAAUAUUAUUGAUGAACGUUAUGACAAGAAACAUGACAAUAUUAUUGAUGAACGUUAUGACAAGAAACAUGACAAUACAAUAGUCCAUGCUUAAUUUAUUUUAGAUAAACAUGGGAUACAAUACAUAUAUAGAAGCAUAUGCAUCUAGUGAAGUCCCAUGUAUCUAUCUAUAUCCUCCUUCCCCAAUCACUGAUGAUACCUUCACUUCACAACCUUAUCAACUCCUCCUUUAACUUUUCCUUUCCCAAGGUCCUUCGGUUUCUCCUUCACCAUCAUCAUUAGCACCAUUGUCUCCUUCACCUUUUUCUCCUUUAUUGUUGUCUCCAUUACAAAUGACUUUUGUACCCCAUCCCUCACUACUUUCUUUUUCGUCACCUCCAAAUCCCCAACCUGACACCCAACUUCCCCAACUUCUAUCAUUUUCUACUUCACCAUCUUUGGGUGGCUCGAUUGCCACAACAUUGAUAAGGAGAGUACAAAAUAAACACACCAAGAUAAAAAGCUUUGUUUUCAUCCUUGCUACAAUUUCUUAGAGUUUGUUGUAAAAUAUGAGUACAAUUGGCAACUAUAUAUAGUUAAUGCAUGAGAAAAAUGAAUUAAAUAAUUUCAAAAGACAAGAACAUAUUGGAUAUUAAAAAAUAUAUACUACGCGGCCAAUUGCGAGGGUAAUGGGCCAUAUAUGACCAUUGAGUCAUUGAAAGGUUAAAUAAAUUGAGACAUGUUUGAUGGAGUGGAAAAAUGAUGAAUUAAGUCAAGUUGGAUGUGACUUUUAUUCGGUUUUAAUAUUUUAUCGGACUAAUUUUUAAAUCUCAACUAGUCCUUUAAUUCAAUGGAUUGCGUGUUUGACAAGAAUAUAAUGAAAUAAAGAUGAAACUGAGUUACUUUUAUGACGAAUCGUCAAAUAUUAAUCAUUAAAUAUUUUUUUAGAAAAAAAAUAUUAAACAUAAAGUAACUCAGAUUAGUCAUUUAUAAUUACUACUUGUCAAUCUAUUUAAAAAUAGUAACACAUAACAUUGUUAUACAAACAAGUGAGUUAAUGAUUUUAUUGGUAAUUUUUUUUUUUUUAUAGUGAAUCAAUAAUAACAUAAAAUAAUUAUUUGUUCUUAAAGUAGUUUGAGACACAAAGAAUAAUUCAAAUUCCGUCAUUUUUCUAUCUUGUCUUAGACUUGUCUUUAUUUUUUGUUCCUAUUUUUUUUUUUUUGGAACAAGGGUAGACUCAACUUAUUACUUACGAGGUAAGAUGGGUUCACCGAAGAGAUCGUGUACUAUACACCACCCCUAGAUCAUGUACUAUACACCCUACAUGUUUCUCUAAUGAUGUAAAUCUUAAUACCAAUUUACUUUGAAAAGAUGCUUAUUUAUGUGUGAUAUGUGUGAUACAUCCUUUAUUAUAUUAUCAACUAUAUACAAUAAUAGAACAUCAAAUGUGACUUGAUCGCGAGACUUUAUUGAAUAUUAAAAUUUAGAAAACUGUGUAACUUUGUUGUAUUAUUUACUUUUGACGCUCUUUAGGUUCCAUUUAUUAUUAAGUUAUUAUAUCUAAACUCAAAUUCUUAAUUAAAACAUUUCUUUGUGGUGAGAGCAAAGAGGUUAGGAGAUUCAAUUGCUUAAAAUUGAAAAUAAAAAUUUUCUUAGAAAAAGAAAUGGAUGAAUUUCAAGCGAGUGUUUAUUAGAAAUGUUUGUUAUUAUAUAUUUGAAUGGAUGAGUUUAAACGAAAGAAAACAUUAACGAGGAGGAUGAUAUUUCAUAAUAAAAUACAAAUUAACAUAUUCAUCAGUAUUUUUAUUAAAAAACUUAUCAUCACAAAAACAUAGGUGAAUGAUGAUGUAAAUAUACAACACAUGACUUUGGACGUGUGAAAUAUCUAUAUUAUAAAGUUGCAAGAUAGAUCACAAUUCAAAAUUGACAUAGAUUAACUUUGAUUGAUGACAUUUGAUUUUAUGAAAGUAGUAAGAAAGUGCAUGAUGGAUGAUCAUGAAAUUGAUCAAUUAAGAGUAUUGUCCUGAGUUUGCACAACAACAACAACUUCACCGGCAUGUGACUAGCACUUUGUGCAACUCCGACUAUAAAGCCUUCCAAGUUCUAUUCUACAACACCCAUUGGUUUGGCAUCAUUCUUCUCUUCACCAAACUCUGCAAAUAAUACAUUGUAUAUUAAAUUUUUUUUUUAUUAAAAACUGAAUUCCACAUAAAAAGAUACAAUUUAAAAUCGUUAAAAACUAAGAAUGUAGGUUAAUAUUAUACAACAACAAAAUAUUAAAAAUGUAACAAAGUCUGCAAAUACAUCUAAAUUGAAAAUAUUAAAAACAUUAAAGUUAUUGGUUGAAUUUUUACUAAUCGAUUGAUAUUGAUCUCUCAAUUAAAAUUAAACGAACACCGCAGCAAGACAAAAAAUAAUAAAUUGGCCCAUAACAAACAAAAGCAAAUGAUAUAAAUAUGUAUAUAAAUCACUUAUUUAAAUAAUAUAAAUAUAUAAUUUAGAUUAGUGAUUUUAAACUAAAAAUUGAUCAUUAAUCACUCCUCACAUUAAAACAAUGAAAAAUGGAACAAAAGGUUGCUGAAAAUGGGAGCAGCGACGGCUGCUAUAUUGUUUAUUAAGUUAUCAAGAGAGGUUAGAAGGAGUGAAUAUUACUAGUUAAUUAGUUAUAUAAGUAAAAUUAUAUCUUUGUAAAAUAAAGUAUAAUUAUAUCGUUAAGUUUCUAAAAAAAAUAUAUCAUUAAUUGUUUAGAUAAUUAAAACUUAAGAUAAGGAUAUUGAUGAAUUUCUGAAUGGUUGUGUUUAAAAUCAAUAAAUUGUAGAUUACUUUUCAAGGAAUUGCAGGCAGCUUACCAUAUAUAAUAUAUUAACUCCAUUAAUUAGAUUUUUAUUUUUUAAAAUAUCAAAUUAACGAAAUGUUCCUGUACAUUUUUUACAAAAUAGAAAAAACAUGUUGGCUACAAGUAUCAAACACAAUACCUUUAAGUCAAGAUUGAUUGGCCAAACUUGAUUGUAAGUAUAUUCAAGAUAUAUAUACAAUCGACUUAAGUAAUCAUCAUUUGUAUAUAGUGAAAUGAAUUGAUGCAUUACUUUUUUUAAGUAACUUUAUAUUGUAUUUUGUUUUUUAUGACUUAUAAAUAAAAUAAAUAAACUUAUCAUGAUUUAUUUUCUAAGUAUGAAAUUUUAUUUGUUUAUUUAAAAAAAGUAUAAAAUUUAAGUGAAGUCAUAAAGUGAUCCGGUGAUUAAAAAUGUUGAAAUUCGUUCCCUCUUCCCUCUACGUUCCUCUUUCUCUCCCCUUAACCUCUCUACGUCCUUCUCUCUAACUUUUAUUGAAUAAUUCUUUUCAUAGAAAAUGAAUUGAAUUUUUUUUAAUUUUGUAGGAACAAGUUCAAUAGUACGCAAUUGUUAGGGCAGGUGAUGGUCAUACAUUAAUUUUAGUCAAUUGUUAGUGACUUAACAAUAGAGAGAUCAAUUGUACAAUGAUAUUUAAGACAUUAUUUUAUUUUUAUGGUCACUAAAAAUUAAAUUCUGUACAAUUUAAAAAUAUACACAUGUAUGUCAAAAUUUGGUCAAGUGGUUAUAUGUCUAUUUUAAAAAUAUACAUAUGCUUAAUAAUCAGGCAGGUGAUGGUCUAUGCACCUAAACCAACUUCGGGAUUAACCGAUAAAAGGGGUCUGCGAUUUUUUUUUUUAUAAAAAAUAAAUUUUUUUAGUCUAUAAAAUUAUUAUAACAUUUUAAAUUUAAUCUCAAAAAAUAAAAAUUAUUUACUGUUAGCCGUUAUUUUGAUUUUAUAGGAUUUAAAGAAUUAGUUUUUUACAAAUUUUUUUAAAUAAGAAGUAAAAAUAAAUUAAAUAAAUUUAUGGAGUAAAAAGUUGAAUUUUUUUUUGUAAGGGCUAUAAAUAAAUUUUGAAAUUUUUAUAAGAAUUAAAAACUUAUUUUACCUGUUUUUUAAUUAUUAAAAUUAUUCUUUUUUUAAUUAAGAGUACUAAACGCAUAUAUAUAUAUAUAUAUAUAUAUAUAUAUAUAUAUAUAUAUAUAUAUAUAUAUAUAUGUAUCCCUACAUGUUUUUAAAUCAACUCUCUAAUAUGUUAGAUAAUGUUAUUAUAUAUUAGUAAUAAAAGUAUUUUAAGCAUUUCUAUUCUUUUGUAUAUAUACUUAUUGUAACCCUAUUAACUAAAGUUUGGUUCAUUCUAUGUUAUGAAACCCUAGGGUGGUUGUCUCUCUUCUUCCUCUUUUCAUUGUUAACAUGAUAUCAAAGAGUUUUGGUUGAUUUUGGGAUUUAUUGUAAAGAAGAGAUAUACUAUUUUGAUAGGAAAGACAACCACCAAAAGAGAAAAGAGAGAGUAACCCUAUUCUCAAUUUCGUUAAAUCAGAAUCACAAAAACAUCAAUUGCGCAUUUGUUAACCGUUGGAUCGGUUUGAUUUUUGGACAGCAGGUUCGCAACAUUCAGGUCUUCGUCUUCAACGGUCGGAUUGGCGAAACAACAUCUGGAGGGGGAGAAAUCGUGUUCGCACAACACCAGAUUAUCCUUAAUUUAUUUUGUCUCAGUGAUUGUGUUUGUCGUAUUUUCCUGUCAUUAUUUGUUAUGGCUGGUGCUAAGCAUGAUUCUCUUCAAGCACAUUGGAAAGCACAUUAUCUGAAAUUGGGGAGAGCACAUAGGAAGAAUUUUAGGGGGCCGUCAUCCAAUGUUGUUGUUUCUGCUCCUCCUACCAUUGACUUUAGUUCUGGUUCUGUAUACUCAUUUGAGACUGCUUCCCAAAUAUCUGAUAUUGCAGAACAGUUUCAAAAACUUCUUGUCACUCAAUCACAUGACAUGUCUUCCACCUCUUUUAAAGGUUUGAACUCCUCUACUAUGUUAGGUAUAUCUCAUUCCAUAUAGAUUCUUGAUUCAUGAGCAUCUCAUCAAAUGACAUAUGAUGAUAAAUCUUUUGUAUCUGUGAAACCUAUCUCAUCUUUGUCGGUUAUGACUGCUGAUGGCGCUCCUAUACCAAUAGCAGGUGUUGGUUUUGUCUCCACACCUAACAUGUCUCUUUCUUAUGUUUAUUAUAUUCCUAAUCUUACUUUGAGUCUUGCUUCUGUUAGUCAAAUAUGUGAUCUCGGUUAUUUGGUUAUGUUUUCUUCCACUUCUUGUUGUGUGCAUGAUCCAUAUUCCGGGAGGCUGAUUAGGACAGGUCAUAGACACGGGGGACUUUAUGUUUUGGAUGGCCUGCGACUCCCAGAUACUACAACCUCAACAACUACUGCUGACUUAUUAUCUAGUUUUCGCUUGAAUUCCUUAUCUUCUAGUUUUAUUUAUGGCAUUCUCGCCUUGAACAUGUUUCUGCUUCUGGAUUAAAAUAUUUGGCUUCUAUUAGAGCCUUAGGAAAGUUACAAACCUGAUAUAUCUCAGAUUUUUGUGGUUGUAAACUUGCUAAACUUCCAGCUUUACCGUUUAGUAAAAGUGUUUCCAUUUCAUAUGCGCCCUUUGAUUUAGUUCACUCUGAUGUUUGGGGUCCAUCACCGGUUCUCACCAAAGGUGGACCUGGAUAUUAUAUUUCGUUUAUUGAUGAUUACAGUCGUUAUUGUUGGGUUUAUCUUAUGAAAAACCGGUCUGAAUUUUUUGACAUUUAUUAUAUGUUUCGUGCAAUUGUCAAAACUCAACAUAAUUCUGUUAUAAAGUGCUUUCGUUGUGAUUUAGGUGGUGAAUAUACCUCUAAUGAAUUUUCUGAAUUACUUGCUUAUGAUGGCACCCUCCACCAAACAUCUUGUACUGAUACUCCUCAACAAAAUGGAGUUGCUGAAAGGAAACACCGUCAUAUUAUAGAGACUGCUUGUUCCCUUUUGUUGGCCGCUUCAAUUCCUUGUGAGUUUUGGGUAGAAGCAGUUCUUACUGUUGUUCAUGCUAUUAAUAGAAUUUCACCCUCUAUCAUAUCAGGUUGGUCUCCCUAUGAAAAAUUGUAUGCUUCUACCCCUGAUUACUAUUCUUUGAAAGUUUUUGGUUCUACUUGUUUUGUUCUUCGCCCUCAAGUAGAGUGCAGUAAGUUGUCUUCUCGUUCAGCCAUAUGUGUUUUUCUUGGUUAUGGGGAUGGUCAAAAGGGUUAUCGUUGUUAUGAUCCUCAUGCAAGAAAACUUUAUGUAUCUCGUAAUGUUGUUUUUCUUGAGCACAUCCCUUUUUACUCUAUUUCAUCUGAUUCUCAGAUUACUAAGAGUUCUGAACUAACCCAUAUUGAUCUGUUUGGUCCUAAUGAUUAUGCUUCUAGUGAUUGUAAUGUUGAGAAUUGCAGGACAAAUACUAAUACUCCAUAUGAUGACAUCCUUCUUGUCCUCCCGGCUGUCCAACCACCUCAUGCGAUUGUUGAUCCUCCUCGUUACCCCUCUCGUCAACGUAAGUCUACUCAGUUACUUGAUUUUGUCUAUUUCACUUACUCAACUUCGUUUGUUUCUUUCUUAACCUCUAUUCACAGUUUGUCUGAGCCAUCAUCCUAUAAAGAGAUUGUUCUUGAUCCUCUAUAUGCAUUGCACAAAAUCAAUACUUGGGAAUUAGUACCUCUUCCUCCUGGAAAACGUGCUAUUGGGUCUCGUUGGGUAUACAAGAUCAAAACUAAGUCUGAUGGGUCAGUUGAACGCUACAAAGCACGUUUUGUUGCUAAGGAUUUCUCUCAACAAUAUGGUAUGGAUUAUGAAGAAACUUUUUCUCCUGUAGCCAAGAUGACCACUAUUCGUACUCUUAUUGCAGUUGCAUCUAUUCGUCAAUGACAUAUUUCUCAAAUGGAUGUCAAAAAUGCUUUUUUAAAUGGUGAGCUUCGUAAAGAAGUCUAUAUGGUCCUCCAUAAGAAGUUUCUCAUAAUCAAGGGGAAGUAUGUAAGUUAAAAAAUGCUCUAUAUGGUCUUAAAUAGGCUCCUCGAGCUUGGUUUGAGAAAUUCUCUACUAUGAUCACUUCUCUUGGUUUCCGCUCUAGUGAACAUGAUUCUUCAUUGUUUAUAAGGUUCACCAUUUAUGGUUGCAUUAUACUUUUUCUCUAUAUGUUGAUUAUAUGAUUAUUACAUGUGAUGAUGUUAGUGGAAUCAAUUAGUUGAAAUUGCAGUUAGCCAACAUUCUUGAUCAGGCUCGUCUUUCUGAUACUAGAGCAGUAGAUACUUCUCUUGAGUUGAAUGUGAAAUAUGCUCCAUCGGAUGGUGUUCCUUUACCAGAUUCCACUUUUGUAUCGUACUUUGGUUGACAACUUAGUGUAUCUUACGAUUAUCAGACCUGACAUUGCUUAUGUUGUUCAUGUUGUUAGUCAGUUUGUUGUCUCUCUCACUACAGUACAUUGGGCAGCAGUUAUUCAGAUUCUUCGUUAUCUUCGAGGAACUCAAUUUCAAAGCUGUCUCUUUCCAUCGUCAUACUCAUUAGAGUUACAAGCUUAUUCUGAUGCUGAUUGGGCUGGUGACAUCACAGAUCGUAAAUCCACCAUAGGGUUUUGUAUCUUUCUUGGAGACUCUCUUAUUUCUUGGAAGAGUAAGAAACAAGACAUUGUCUCUCGCUCCUCUACAGAAGCUGAGUAUCGUGCUAUGGCAUCCACUACCGCCGAAAUAAUUUGGUUGUGUUGGCUUUUGCCUGAUAUGAGUAUUUCUCUUUCUGAGGCAACUCCGAUGCACUGCGAUAACAAGAGUGCUAUUCAAAUUGCUCACAAUUCGGUCUUCCAUGAACACACCAAACACAUUGAGAUUGAUUGUCAUCUUACUCGUCAUCAUCUUCAACAUGGAACCAUUACUCUACCGUUUGCCUCUUCUUCUUUACAAAUUGAUGAUUUUUUCACAAAGAUCCAUUCCAUUAAACGUUUCCGUUUUUUAGUUGACAAACUCUCGAUGCUCCAUAUUAAUGCAUCGUGAGUUUGAAGGAAAAUGUUAGAUAAUGUUAUUAUAUAUUAUUAGUAAGUGUAUUUUAGACAUUUAUAUUCUUUUGUAAAUAUACUCAUUGUAACCCUAUUAACUCCAGUUUGGUUCAUUCUAUGUUAUGAAACCCUAGAGUGGUUGUCUUUCUUCUUCCUCCUUUCAUUGUUAACAUAAUCCAUUUUAACCAUAAGUUUUUUUGAAUAAAUUUUGUUCUCAUGUGUUGUCGAUUUUAUACAUAAAUGCAAUAUAAUUUUAUCAAUAUAGAUUUAUUGUAUUGCUGUUUAAAACUUUUUUGCAUAUGUAUUCAUCAAAAUAUCACUUUGUUAUUUCAAUUGAAUACAUAAAAAUAUUUAAAAAUAUAAUUGGAUACAUAAAAAUAUUUAAAAAUAUUACAUCCUUACUACAUAAAAAUUAAUAUCUUGUUAAUAAUAAUUAUUUUUAUUAAUUAACAAAAAAAAAUAUGAAUACAUAAACUAACAUACUUUUCAUCAAAAGUAUAUGUUUGUGAGUAUACGUGUGCAUGGAUGAAUAUAAAAGUAUAUUCUAUUCAUUCUCUUUUGUAUUAUUCAUUGUCUUUGCUAAUGGAUUUAGAGUGUCCUUUAUAUUCUCUUGAAUAAAUUUUGUUUAUAAAAAGAAUAUUAUCAACUUUAUAUCGAGACACUACGCGAAAAAUGGUAUUUUACAGCGCUUUUUUUAAGCCAUUUACAGCGCUUUUUCAAAAAAUUAAGCGCUGUAGUAUCCAGCGCUGUAAAAAGAUACAACAGCGCUCUUUAAAAUAAAAUAAAAAAAAAGCGCUGUAAAUCUCUUCUAAAAACGCGCUGCUUGUUGUAUUAGUUUUACGGCGCUUUUUAAAAAAAGCGCUGUAAUAUGCAUUCCUUUAUUUCAAUUAGAUCUCUUUCUGGGAUUAUAACAACAAUCUCCUUCAUAAAUCGUAAUAUACAGUAUCUGCAGUCUAUGUUGUUAGUUUGACGAGAGCACUAUAAAAUAAAACAUAUAAGUCAAUAAAUAUUUGUGGAUUGAUUGUUAAUGAAAUUUUAAAGUCAUAGAUUUCAAACCUUUAUUAGAAUCCAUGUGAUUUAUUUGAUUUUUGCUUCGACACUGUAGCACCCAUUUGAGCUCGGAAAACUUGUAAAACACUAUCAAAUAAAUGUGAUUAUUAGCAUUAACAGACACAUUAUAUAUAUAUUUAUUUUUUAAAAGCCUAUUACAGCGCUUUUUUUAAAAAGCGCUGUAAAAGACCUUCUUAUUUUAUUUUUUAAAAGCCUAUUACAGCGCUUUUUUUAAAAAGCGCUGUAAAAGACCUUCUUAUUUUAUUUUUUAAAAGCCUAUUACAGCGCUUUUUUUAAAAAGCGCUGUAAAAGACCUUCUUAUUUUAUUUUUUAAAAGCCUAUUACAGCGCUUUUUUUAAAAAGCGCUGUAAAAGACCUUCUUAUUUUAUUUUUUAAAAGCCUAUUACAGCGCUUUUUUUAAAAAGCGCUGUAAAAGACCUUCUUAUUUUAUUUUUUAAAAGCAUAUUACAGCGCUUUUUUAAAAAAGCGCUGUAAAAGACCUUCUUAUUUUAUUUUUUAAAAGCCUAUUACAGCGCUUUUUUUAAAAAGCGUUGUAAAAGACUUCUUUAUUUUAUUUUUUAAAAGCCUAUUACAGCGCUUUUUUUAAAAAGCGCUGUAAAAGACCUCUUUAUUUUACUUUUUAAAAGCCUAUUACAGCGCUUUUUUUAAAAAGCGCUAUAAAAGACCUUCUUAUUUUAUUUUUUAAAAGCCUAUUACAGCGCUUUUUUUAAAAAGCGCUAUAAAAGACCUUCUUAUUUUAUUUUUUAAAAGCCUAUUACAGCGUUUUUUUUAAAGAGCGCUGCAAAAGACCUCCUUAUUUUACUUUUUAAAAGCCUAUUACAGCGCUUUUUUUAAAAAGCGCUGUAAAAUACCUUCUUAUUUUAUUUUUUAAAAGUCUAUUACAACGUUUUUUUUAAAGAACGCUGUAAUAGACCUCCUUAUUUUAUUUUUUGAAAGUCUAUUACAGGGUUUUUUUACAGACUUUUUAAAGCGCUUGUCCAAAAGCGCUGUAAAAGACCUCUUUAUUUUUUUUUAAAAACCUUUUUACAGCGCUUUUCCAAAAAGCGCUCUAAUAGGUCCUUUAAUUAUGUGAAAUCAAAGUCUUUUACAGCGCUUUUUUUAUAGCGCUUGUCAAAAAGGCGUUGUUGUAUCCUCCGUUAUUUUUAAAAUAUCAUACAACAGCGCUUAUAUUUAAUAAGCGCUAUAAAAGACGCGCUAUAAAAUGUCAUUUUUGGCGUAGUGAGAUCAUGGUUAAUCGUAAAAAAAUAACAUGAUUAUUAGAAAACAAUACAAACUACCUACAUAUAACAUUCUCAUGAAAAUAUAUACAACGAAAAAUGAUAUAUAGCUCACCCUUUUCGGUAUUAGAGGAAGUCUCCGUUAAGUCCCUAGCUGAGACCUCAAAGGAGAUCAUAAGAACCAUAGCCAAAAGGCCAAGGAUGAGGGUUGUUUUUUUUUCAAAUCCAUUGUUCAAUAUUUGGUAGUGAAAUUAAGAUGAGAAAAAUGGUAAGAAAGUGUAGUCUAUAUAUAGUGGAGGGAGAGCAAUAUGACUUUUAAGUAUGAAGGAACAAAUGUCAGUUUCAGAGGCUAUGAAAUUAGGAAGCAGCAGUUAUCACUUAUCACUAUUGUCAUUCAUUGUUAAAUUAUUGCCUGCCACCAGAAUCAAAGUCAACCACUUGUUUCAGUCUUUGUUUUCAAUCACCAAUUCUCACUUUGCAUAUAACACGUUAAUGUAUAGUGAGUCUAAUCUUGACUUUUCAAAAUAUGUUUUAAAAGAUGGACUUGUUAAAAAAGUAUGAUAUAUUAUUAAAUUUUAUUAAAUAUUAUUAAAUUAUAUUAAAAAUUUCAUUAAUUAUUUAUAAUUUUUAUUAUCCUUUAUUAAAAUAACAUGACUAUAACGAGAUUAAAACUAUAAUUAAAUAUAAAUUUUUGUAUUUUAUGUUACGAUAUAACCGUUUAAUUUACAUCUCACACUAUACUUAAAAAUUGAUUUCGUACUCGAAUUUAUAGGAUCCAUUUGAUAGACAUGAUAACAUACAAGAUAUGAAUAAAUUAAUCAAUAAUUCUAUCAUAUCUUAUCUAGUUGAAAUGUCUAUCCAGAUGAGCUGGGUUAUAAACCAUCAGGAUAUGAUAAGAAUAGUAGUUUAUUCAAUUAUCCUAAUAAAAUAUAAUUUAAAAUAUAAAUACAAAAAUAAUUUAUAAAAUAUAAUCUAACAUAUAAAAAUGUAAAUCUAAUCAAAUAGAAAAAUAAUUAAUAGAAUUUGAUAUUAAACUUAAAAAUGAAAUAAUAAUAAUAACUAAUUUAAAAAAUGUUUAUGAUUUUACACAAGGGUAGUUUUGUCUUUUUUAUAUAAUUUAAUAAAUUAUUAUUGACAAUUAUAAAAAUUUGAAAGUUAAUUGAAAUUUUAAAUUAAAUCUAAUUUCUUUACAAGGUAUUAUGCCAUUUACAUAUAAUAUAUAUCAUAUAUCUUUAGUACCAUUCUAACAAAUAAAAUAUAAUUAUUUGGUUACACAUGAUUUUGUUUUUAAAAUUUAAAUUAUUUAUUUAGUUGUAUCAAUGAGUAGUUUUAAUAUAAAAUUAUUUCAUUACUUAUUUAAUUUUUUUUGUUAAUUUAUAAUAUUUAAAAUAUAAUGAGUUAAUUUUUAAUAUAUAUAUAUAUAUAUAAUUGUUCACAAAGAUAAUUUUCUUAUUUAAAUAUAAUAUAUAGUAUAUAAUAUCAUAAUGAGAUGUACAUCAAAUACAUGAUAAAAUAAAAUAUUAUCAUAUGUGUAUCAAAUAUAAAAUAUAAUAAUUUUUAUCAUGUCAUUAAUCUAUCAUAUAUUAUAUUAUCAUUAUUCCAUUUUAUAUUGUAUUUUGUUUCUUUUUAUUUUGCACAUCAAAGGGUCAUUUGUAUCUUUGGAGAGUGAAAUAGUUGUAAAGUAGAUGUGAUAGGGAGGGGGGUGUUGUUUGUAAAGUGGGAGGGCUUGGAAGGGCUUUCCAAGAUGUUUAGUGGGAUACGACUUCCUAUUUAUUUUCCUCUUAUUGUUGAAUGUGAAAGAGACACUUCAUUGGUUAAUGUCUCUUAUAAUGGAUAAUUUUAAUGGACUAUCAAUAGUGCAGGUUCAAAUUAAUUAGGAGCUCCCUUUGAAAUAUUACUGGAAUAUUAAGAGUGAUUUAUUUGAAUUUAUUUAUUGGCUUUGUUAAAUUAUUUAAGAGGACUUAUAAAAAUAAUUUAUGACAUAUUUAUAAGUUUUUUUGUAGUUAACUUUUUUAUUUUUAAAAUUGUUUAUGAAAAUAAUUUAAUUUUAAUUUAUUAAAGAUAAUUUAACUUUAUUUUAUUAUUAUUAUAAAUAUAACAUAUACAUAAAUACUUAUAUGAUAAACGUAUGUUUCAUUUAAUUCUUUAUUUUUUACAUAAAUUUUAUAUUUUAUACAAUUUUUUUUUAAGAAUAAAAUCUAAAUUUGAUGCAUAUAUAAAUUAUGUGGAUUAAAUUUACAGAAAUUAAUUUUCAUCUAUAUGAAUUUGAAGAGAUAAAAAGUGUGUUAAUAUUAUAUAUAUAUAUAUAUGUGGUAAGAAAGUAUUGACUUAGAUGGUAUUUGAAAUAUGACGUGGAUUAUAUUUAGACAAUACAUUGUGAAAUAUUAAUAUAGUGGCAUCACAGAUUGCUAUCUACCUAUUUAUACCUCUCUUACUCAACAGUACACUUCUUAUUGAUGAAAUUUUAUUUUAUGAAAGUAGUAAGAAAGUGCAUAAUGAUGAUGAUAUUGAUCAGUUAAGAGUCUUGUCCUCUCUUUGCACAUCAGUAGCUUCCCCAACAUAUCCUCCUCCAUGUCCACCGUGACCACCGCCGUGACCACCAUUUCCGGGGUAACCACCACCAUGACCUCCAUUUCCGGGGUAACCACCACCAUGACCAUAAUUACCACCGCCGUGGCCAUAAUUACCACCGCCAUUGCCAUAAUUACCACCACCAUGACCAUAGUUACCACCACCAUUGCCGUAACUACCACCGCCAUUGCCGUAGUUACCACCACCAUUACCACCGUGACCGUAAUUACCGCCACCAUGACCAUAAUUACCACCGCCAUUGCCGUAAUUACCGCCACCAUUACUACCGUGACCAUAAUUACCACCACCAUGACCAUAAUUACCACCACCAUUGCCGUAAUUACCGCCACCAUUACCACCGUGACCGUAAUUACCACCGCCAUUGCCGUAAUUACCACCACCGUGACCGUAGUUACCACCGCCGUUACUAGGGUAACC
rnacentral:lncRNA from 1 species